GAAUUAAAUGGCCGCAGUAUUUUGACUGUGCAAAGGUAGCAUAAUUAUUAGUUUUUUAAUUGAAAGCUUGUAUGAAGGGUUGGACGAGAUAAAAUCUGUCUUUAUUUAAAUUAUGAUAGAAUUUAACUUUUAAGUCAAAAGGCUUAAAUGUAUGUAAAAGACGAGAAGACCCUAUAGAUCUUUAUUUAACUAAUAUUUUGAUAAUUUAGGAUUAUUUUAGUUUAAAGUUUUAGUUAAAUUUUAUUGGGGUAAUAUAAAGAUUAAAUAAAUUCUUUUUAUUUAUUACAUUGAUUUAUGAAUAUAUGAUCCAAUAUUAUUGAUUAUAAGAUUAAGUUACCUUAGGGAUAACAGCGUAAUUUUUUUGGAGAGCUCAUAUCGAUAAAAAAGUUUGCGACCUCGAUGUUGGAUUAAAAAUUAGCUUGGGUGCAGAAGCUCAAGAUUUUGGUCUGUUCGACCAUUAAAUUUUUACAUGAUCUGAGUUCAGACCGGCGUAAGCCAGGUCGGUUUCUAUCUUUACUUAUCUAAAAUAUUUUAGUACGAAAGGACCAAAUAUUUAAUAUAAUUAUAUUUAUUUUUUGAAUAAUAUU
rnacentral:rRNA from 1 species